GUGAGGUGGUGCUAUGUAGCAGGAACCCCUCUUGCUUUGCAAAUAGUUUUUUGUUUGUUUUCCUUUUUGCCCAAUAGAGCCCUGCUCUACUGACCCUUCAAUGUGCCCGUGUGCCUAAAUAUUCCUGGUCGUGUGAAAAGAACCCAGGUAUUAGCUGAACUAAGGAGCACAAUUCUGCAACAUUUUGGCACCCAAACACGGGGCUUGAGAAAUGAAUGCAAUUGGAGAAACUGGUUGUUUUACCAGGCGUUGAUUGGAAAUGUGUGCUUCCCUUUAAGCAGUCAAGCUCAACUUGCAGAACUGAUGGGAACCCCUUGGGAAAACUGGCCUCAAAUGUUUGUCUACACAGUCCACAUACAGGGUUCUUAACCUGCGGUGAGUAAAGAAUGUCACUUUCCAACAGGCCCAGAUAUCAUAUGCUCUUGGGACCUCAAGAAGAGAGGAGUUUACCCAAUUCAUAGGUGUGUGAGGAUAAAAACCUAGGGCUGGGCUCAGCUUUAAAUGGUCUUAUCUGAGAUUCUUUGUGAAACAGAUUUUCAUGAAAGCCAAUCUAGAGGGCCUACGUAGAAAUAAUUGUUUUUGCUGCACUUUAUGCACAUAAUCAAGCCAAUUAUAAGACUAAAGUCUAUAUUGCAAGCAACACACUCCUAUUAUGAUUUGUUUUUAACAGAAAUGAGGACGAGACAGAGAGAAAUUAUGUUUCAAAACUUAUCAUCAUUAGUUUCUAGACUUAUUAUUUCUUUUUAAGUUUUUACCUACAUUUUAGACUGACCCUGCUUGUGCCUGUGAACCAACCAACAAUCUCUGGCUGCAGCUCAGAAAGGACAAAAGAGAAUGGGUAGGUAAUGGUGUCCCAUACCACAGAACACUUCCCUCAGAUGCAUCCUUCUAACUGGGAGGAGUUAAUUUCUCAAACCGUAGACUAAUUGGCUUAGGAUUAGGUUCAGGGGAAGGGAACACAGAAACAUGACAUGCCAGCAAAAGGGUAAAAGGUUUUUUUUCCCCGUUGGGCUUUUGGCCUCUCUCUCCCUGUGCAAACUGGUAAAAGGCGUCUGGAUUUUCUAGUUGUCCUUACCCACUGCUUGUUUCGUUUUGAUACAUAUUUUCUAAUAACCUGUUUGUCUCUUCUCACUUUUAGGCCAUCAAACUCCAGUCUGCACCUGGAGCCUUGGAUGAUGGCCUUUUUUACUGGGAACCCUGAAAUAGGCCUCUGAGGGAAAUCUGAUUGCCAUUUUCCCAAAACAGCUUCCCUGACAAUAGGAAGCAAUUAAGAUUGGUCUUCAUCCUUAUCUUUAUCCUUAUUCUAAUGGCAGUUAGAGGUACUUCUUUAGAGGGGGGAAUGAGACAGCCAAAUGCCUAGGCAGAUAAAAAGGUGUACCUGGAAAAUUUCCAACCCGUCACACAAGUGUUUACAUCAGAUGCUUUUGUGUAGAUGAGGGAAACUUCCCAGGGCUUGUCUGGGUAUGCCCACAGUGGACUGGAGCCCAAAAUGCACACUGGAGGAAGUGGAUGGAGCCACGUGGAUGUCAUGCCUUAUGCAGGGGAGGAGCCUGCUCUCUUCAGCUCCUGUGGUAAUGUGGGAAUCGAUCUGUGAGACUGGAGUGCAAUGGCAUUAUCUCAGCUCACUGCAACAUCCGCCUCCCGUGUUCAAGCAAUUCUCCUGCUUCAGUCUCCGAAGUAGCUGGGAUUACAAUAGACUGGAUUUUAUCAAGGAAUGUAUUUCUUCUAGAAAAUAGAUACACUUUCAAAGAUACGUUAAUUUACAUGAGAGCUUGCCUGUGUGCACAAUAGAAAGCCAAAAAUAAAGAGGUUAUCAUCUAAUGGCA
rnacentral:lncRNA from 1 species